rnacentral:rRNA from 1 species
AUUGAACGCUGGCGGCAGGCCUAACACAUGCAAGUCGAACGAGCGGCGGACGGGUGAGUAAUGUCUGGGAAUCUGCCCGAUGGAGGGGGAUAACUACUGGAAACGGUAGCUAAUACCGCAUACCAUCGGAUGUGCCCAGAUGGGAUGAGCUAGUAGGUGGGGUAACGGCUCACCUAGGCGACGAUCCCUAGCUGGUCUGAGAGGAUGACCAGCCACACGGGGACUGAGACACGGUCCAGACUCCUACGGGAGGCAGCAGGGGGGAAUAUUGCACAAUGGGCGCAAGCCUGAUGCAGCCAUGCCGCGUGUAUGAAGAAGGCCUUCGGGUUGUAAAGUACUUUCAGCGGGGAGGCGUUACUCGCAGAAGAAGCACCGGCUAACUCCGUGCCAGCAGCCGCGGUAAUUU